UACGUAGGUGGCAAGCGUUGUCCGGAAUUAUUGGGCGUAAAGCGCGCGCAGGCGGUCUCUUAAGUCUGAUGUGAAAGCCCCCGGCUCAACCGGGGAGGGUCAUUGGAAACUGGGAGACUUGAGUGCAGAAGAGAAGAGUGGAAUUCCACGUGUAGAGGUGAAAUGCGUAGAGAUGUGGAGGAACACCAGUGGCGAAGGCGACUCUUUGGUCUGUAACUGACGCUGAGGCGCGAAAGCGUGGGGAGCAAACAGG
rnacentral:rRNA from 1 species